rnacentral:rRNA from 1 species
GCUACGGGUGGCAGCAGUGAGGAAUAUUGGUCAAUGGGCGCGAGCCUGAACCAGCCAAGUAGCGUGAAGGAUGACUGCCCUACGGGUUGUAACCUUCUUUUUUAAAGGAAUAAAGUGAGGCACGUGUGCCUUUUUGUAUGUACUUUAUGAUUAAGGAUCGGCUAACUCCGUGCCAGCAGCCGCGGUAAUACGGAGGAUCCGAGCGUUAACGGGAUUUAUUGGGUUGAAAGGGAGCGUAGAUGGGUUGUUAAGUCAGUUGGGAAAGUUUGGGGCUCAACCGGAAAAUUGCAAUUGAUACUGGCAGUCUUGAGUACAGUUGAGGUAGGCGGAAUUCGUGGUGUAGCAGUGAAAUGCUUAGAUAUCACGAAGAACCCCGAUUGCGAAGGCAGCUUACUAAACUGUGACUGACAUUGAUGCUCGAAAGUGUGGGUAUCAAACAGGAUUAGAUACCCCUGUAGUC